rnacentral:misc_RNA from 1 species
AUGGGCAUGCGGGUAUACUUUUGCCUAUAUCUGUGAUAUCUUUGCUGUUGAAAUUUAUGAUUUUGAUGAGCUUUAUUUAUCUUUUGCAUUUCCAGGGUAGUUUCCUAUAUAACAUCUGUUAGUUCCUAUAAAUCUUUGUAUUUUACUCUUGAUAAAAGAAAAUUUUAAAUCUGCAUUUUUCUCAUGAAGAGAGAGAAAUUGGUUUCAGUUUAAAUUUCCCUUGCAGUUACACCUAGUAAUUUUUGGUAUCUUGUUGGUUGAUAUUUGACUAGGACUAAAGCAAUUAGAAACAACAACAAUAGGGAGUAAUUUUCUAGCGGGCCAUGCCCUAGUGGCUCUUCUACUGACUCCAUCUCUCUAAUCUUUUACAACAUUGAUGUUGGAAUUCUCAAG